AUUGAACGCUGGCGGCAGGCCUAACACAUGCAAGUCGCACGAGUGGCGGACGGGUGAGUAAUGUCUGGGAAACUGCCUGAUGGCGGGGGAUAACUACUGGAAACGGUAGCUAAUACCGCAUACCAUCAGAUGUGCCCAGAUGGGAUUAGCUAGUUGGUGGGGUAAAGGCUCACCAAGGCGACGAUCCCUAGCUGGUCUGAGAGGAUGACCAAGCAAACUGGAACUGAGACACGGUCCAGACUCCUAAGGGAGGCAGCAGUGGGGAAUAUGGGACAAUGGGGGCAAGGCGGAUGCAGCCGAGGCGCGGGUAUGAAGGAGGCCUUCGGGGUGGAAAGUACUUUCAGCGGGGAGGCGUUACCCGCAGAAGAAGCACCGGCUAACUCCGUGCCAGCAGCCGCGGUAAUAC
rnacentral:rRNA from 1 species